GCGGGAGUAGCUCAAUUGGUAGAGCGCCAGCCUUCCAAGCUGGAUGUCGCGGGUUCGAGCCCCGUCUCCCGCUCCA
rnacentral:tRNA from 1 species